rnacentral:lncRNA from 1 species
UCAUUUCAUUUCAGGAUAGCCCAAUAGGCAAUACAUAUAGAUCAGUAAAAAACCCAACUAGAGAAUUUUAAUAAAAUACAGCCCACAUAGAAAAGUGAUUUGUGAUGCAUGUCUAUCCAUGCGUAGCCUUCACCAGCUCUCUGAAACACGCGUUCUUUAGUCAUGAAGCGGCAAUCUUGGCUGUCUCUAACUUCGUCGGCAGGAACCGCCGGGAUGACUCUGAAGUCGUGUCUCCAUCUUUGUCUUCUCAGCUUAGAGGGUUUGUACCAAUCGAUGCUCUUUUCACCAAGGAUCGAACUAACUAGCUGAACUUAUCAAACCAACGGAAACAAUCUGAUUCUGAAAAAGUUCUUGUUCAACUGGAGAAUGAUUUUUGUCGGACCGCCAUGAACGCCGACUCUACUAAUCAUACCCCAAACUAACAGAUACUUUCAAUCCUCCAUACCUCUUCCAAUCAGAGAAACUUUACUUCAAUUUAGUAUAUAUUAGAAGUAAAGAUUGAUGCUCUUAGGAAGGUCUCUGGACAAACUAAUGACCUGAGAGUUCGAACACCAGUAAGCCGUAAUUGAGCACAUGUGGAAGAGCUUGAUACAGCUUCGAUUUCAAAUCGGAAACUUUAUCGCCCAUAACAAACCUGAGUAAAAAAGAUAAGAACUUUAAUAUUUGCCCAGAUUUGAAUGAGAAAGCACAACAAAACUCACCAACACGAAGAAGAAAUCGCCAAGCGAAGAAAAAAUCCUACAGGCAGAAACAAAAUCGAUCCAACGGAUCGAAUAUUUACAAGACAAAACAGAAUCGAACCCUCCUUUGUGAAAGAUAUGGGUUUGGUAACAAGGAAGGUUCGAGAGAAAAAUUCUCUCUCGAAUCGAACUGUUC